rnacentral:rRNA from 1 species
UAGUCCACGCCGUAAACGAUGGUUACUAGCUGUUCGGACUUCGGUCUGAGUGGCUAAGCGAAAGUGAUAAGUAACCCACCUGGGGAGUACGUUCGCAAGAAUGAAACUCAAAGGAAUUGACGGGGGCCCGCACAAGCGGUGGAGCAUGUGGUUUAAUUCGAUGAUACGCGAGGAACCUUACCAGGGCUUAAAUGUAGUCUGACAGCUUUAGAGAUAGAGUUUUCUUCGGACAGAUUACAAGGUGCUGCAUGGUUGUCGUCAGCUCGUGCCGUGAGGUGUCAGGUUAAGUCCUAUAACGAGCGCAACCCCUGUUGUUAGUUGCCAGCGAGUAAUGUCGGGAACUCUAGCAAGACUGCCGGUGCAAACCGCGAGGAAGGUGGGGAUGACGUCAAAUCAUCACGGCCCUUACGUCCUGGGCCACACACGUGCUACAAUGGUUGUGACAAAGAGUUGCGAAUUUGCAAAAAUCAGCUAAUCUAUAAACACAGCCUCAGUUCGGAUUGUAGGCUGAAA